AGGAACAAAGCGGUUCAAGAAAAGUGAUUCAAAAAGAGAAAAAAUGAAAAAAAAAAAGAGAAGAAAAAGGAAAUACGAGAGGAGCCGACAAAGGGAAGUUUCUCAAAUCUUUGCCUUUAUUUGUCUUGCUAUUGUGCAUAAAAUCUUGCCAUUUAUCUUCACAUUUUUCCUCCUAGGAUAAAAAGUCCUAGUCUGAUGGAUUUUCCUCCCAAUCGAAAUCCUAGUCUGAUGAACCUUCUCCUAGGAUCAAAAUCUUAGUCUGAUGAUUUUUUCUCCUAAGAUAGAAGACCUAAUCUGAUGAACUUUCUCCUAGGAUAGAUGUCUUAGUCUGAU
rnacentral:lncRNA from 1 species